rnacentral:rRNA from 1 species
AGAAAGCGUAAUAGCUCACUGGUCGAGUCGGCCUGCGCGGAAGAUGUAACGGGGCUAAACCAUGCACCGAAGCUGCGGCAGCGACGCUUAUGCGUUGUUGGGUAGGGGAGCGUUCUGUAAGCCGUCGAAGGUGUGCUGUGAGGCAUGCUGGAGGUAUCAGAAGUGCGAAUGCUGACAUAAGUAACGAUAAAGCGGGUGAAAAGCCCGCUCG